rnacentral:rRNA from 1 species
GACGAACGCUGGCGGCGUGCUUAACACAUGCAAGUCGAACGGAAAGGCCCUGCUUUUGUGGGGUGCUCGAGUGGCGAACGGGUGAGUAACACGUGAGUAACCUGCCCUUGACUUUGGGAUAACUUCAGGAAACUGGGGCUAAUAUCGGAUAGGAGCUCCUGCUGCAUGUUGGGGGUUGGAAAGUUUCGGCCGUUGGGGAUGGACUCGCGGCUUAUGAGCUUGUUGGUGGGGUAGUGGCUUACCAAGGCUUUGACGGGUAGCCGGCCUGAGAGGGUGAACGGCCACAUGAGGACUGCGAUAGGGACCAGACUCCUACGGGACGCAGCAGUGGGGAGUCUUGCACAAUGGGCGGAAGCCUGAUGCAGAAGCGCCGCGUGCGGAAUGCCGGCUUUUGAGUUGUAAACAGCUGUCGACUGUGACGAAGCGUGAGUGACGGUACUGGGUCAGGAAGCCACGGCUAACUACGUG